rnacentral:rRNA from 1 species
CCUCAAAUCAGGUAGGACUACCCGCUGAACUUAAGCAUGUCAAUAAGCGGAGGAAAAGAAACUAACAAGGAUUCCCCUAGUAACUGCGAGUGAAGCGGGAAAAGCUCAAAUUUAAAAUCUGGCGGUCCUUGUGGCUGUCCGAGUUGUAAUCUAGAGAAGUGCUAUCCGCGCUGGACCGUGUACAAGUCUCCUGGAAUGGAGCGUCAUAGAGGGUGAGAAUCCCGUCUUUGACACGGACUACCAGGGCUUAUGUGAUGUGCUCUCGAAGAGUCGAGUUGUUUGGGAAUGCAGCUCAAAAUGGGUGGUAAAUUCCAUCUAAAGCUAAAUAUUGGCGAGAGACCGAUAGCGAACAAGUACCGUGAGGGAAAGAUGAAAAGAACUUUGGAAAGAGAGUUAAACAGUACGUGAAAUUGUUGAAAGGGAAACGCUUGAAGUCAGUCGCGUCGUCCGGGGAUCAACCUUGCAAAUUUUGCUAGGGUGCAUUUUCCGGUUGAUGGGUCAACAUCAAUUUCGACCGUUGGAUAAAGGCUUAGGGAAUGUGGCAUCUUCGGAUGUGUUAUAGCCCUUGGUCGCAUACAACGGUUGGGAUUGAGGAACUCAGCACGCCGAAAGGCCGGGUUUUAUUACCACGUUCGUGCUUAGGAUGUUGGCAUAAU